rnacentral:misc_RNA from 1 species
AGAUGAAGAACGUAGUGAAAUGCGAUAAGUAAUGUGAAUUGCAGAAUUCAGUGAAUCAUCGAAUCUUUGAACGCACCUUGCACCCUUUGGUAUUCCGAAGGGUAUGCCUGUUUGAGUGUCAUUAUAUUCUCAACCAUUGAACUUGUUUCUUUGGCUUGGAUGUGGGGGUUGCGGGCUUUUUUUAAAGUCGGCUCCUCUUAAAUGCAUUAGUGGAAACCGCUUGCAGGAUUCAUUCACUUUUUGGCGUGAUAGUAUCGUCGUCGAAGGCAAAUGUCUCCGAGGUGUCUGCUCUCUAACUGUCCGAAAGGACUCUUUCAAUGACUUGUUUGACCUCAAAUCAGGUAGGACUACCCGCUGAACUUAAGCAUAUCAAUAAGCGGAGGA